UCUAUGGAUUAACGCCUACACUCAUUUCGUUGGAUUAGACCAGACAAGGGUUGAGUAGAAAGAACAUUUGUAACAUGCAAAAGCAACACCUGAAAUAUCACACGAGUCAAUUUACUCUCGAGUGAAAUACUCGUAGCUUCUUUGUACCCCACCCAAAUGUUCGCGGGAAUGUCUUGACUCUUGUAUCGCCUGCAGUAGCAAGGUUUGUCCAGCAGAGAGCAGCAAUAGUUUGGAAAAACAGGAAGUGACGCAUGUCGCGGGAGAAGACGAGUUGAAAAUUCAAAAUGGCGCUUUUCGAUCCACAGUCAAGCCGAGUAAAUGGUUUUCCUCCUUUUUUAUUCAAACGAAAAAAAACAUUCAAAAACAACGUUGAUAAACAUUUAAUAUACAUUUUCAAAGAAUAAAAGGGGUGAAAUAACGAGGGAAAAAUUGGAAAUAUGUCAAUCUGCGUGCCGGAACGCAACGAGGUUCACUAGAAUGAAAAGGGUUUGCGAAUCAUUGUACAGUAUUGUGUUUUUGCUUGCAUUUCACACUAUGUGAUUGGGGUUUGUUCACAAAACAAGAAAGGAAAGGUCUUGGUGCACUAUUAAA